CCUACGGGAGGCUGCAGUGGGGGAUAUUGCACAAUGGAGGGAACUCUGAUGCAGCAAUGCCGCGUGAAGGAAGAAGGUUUUCGGAUUGUAAACUUCUAUCAGCAGGGAAGAAAAUGACGGUACCUGACUAAGAAGCCCCGGCUAACUAUGUGCCAGCAGCCGCGGUAAUACAUAGGGGGCAAGCGUUAUCCGGAAUGACUGGGUGUAAAGGGUGCGUAGGCGGUAAGGUAAGUCUGAUGUGAAAGACUGGGGCUCAACUCCAGGGGUGCAUUGGAAACUAUGUUACUAGAGUACAGGAGAGGGAAGCGGAAUUCCUAGUGUAGCGGUGAAAUGCGUAGAUAUUAGGAGGAACACCGGUGGCGAAGGCGGCUUUCUGGACUGAAACUGACGCUGAGGCACGAAAGCGUGGGGAGCAAACAGGAUUAGAUACCCCAGUAGUC
rnacentral:rRNA from 1 species